GGCUUAAACGGUAAAGCGUCUGCCUGCAAUGUGGGAGACCCAGGUUCGAUUCCUGG
rnacentral:tRNA from 1 species